GUAAUGUCUGGGAAACUGCCUGAUGGAGGGGGAUAACUACUGGAAACGGUGGCUAAUACCGCAUAACGUCGCAAGACCAAAGAGGGGGACCUUCGGGCCUCUUGCCAUCAGAUGUGCCCAGAUGGGAUUAGCUAGUUGGUGAGGUAACGGCUCACCAAGGCGACGAUCCCUAGCUGGUCUGAGAGGAUGACCAGCCACACUGGAACUGAGACACGGUCCAGACUCCUACGGGAGGCAGCAGUGGGGAAUAUUGCACAAUGGGCGCAAGCCUGAUGCAGCCAUGCCGCGUGUAUGAAGAAGGCCUUCGGGUUGUAAAGUACUUUCAGCGGGGAGGAAGGGAGUAAGGUUAAUAACCUUAUUCAUUGACGUUACCCGCAGAAGAAGCACCGGCUAACUCCGUGCCAGCAGCCGCGGUAAUACGGAGGGUGCAAGCGUUAAUCGGAAUUACUGGGCGUAAAGCGCACGCAGGCGGUCUGUCAAGUCGGAUGUGAAAUCCCCGGGCUCAACCUGGGAACUGCAUUCGAAACUGGCAGGCUUGAGUCUUGUAGAGGGGGGUAGAAUUCCAGGUGUAGCGGUGAAAUGCGUAGAGAUCUGGAGGAAUACCGGUGGCGAAGGCGGCCCCCUGGACAAAGACUGACGCUCAGGUGCGAAAGCGUGGGGAGCAAACAGGAUUAGAUACCCUGGUAGUCCACGCCGUAAACGAUGUCUACUUGGAGGUUGUGCCCUUGAGGCGUGGCUUCCGGAGCUAACGCGUUAAGUAGACCGCCUGGGGAGUACGGCCGCAAGGUUAAAACUCAAAUGAAUUGACGGGGGCCCGCACAAGCGGUGGAGCAUGUGGUUUAAUUCGAUGCAACGCGAAGAACCUUACCUGGUCUUGACAUCCACAGAACUUUCCAGAGAUGGAUUGGUGCCUUCGGGAACUGUGAGACAGGUGCUGCAUGGCUGUCGUCAGCUCGUGUUGUGAAAUGUUGGGUUAAGUCCCGCAACGAGCGCAACCCUUAUCCUUUGUUGCCAGCGAUUAGG
rnacentral:rRNA from 1 species